CAGUUCUUCAUCAGAAACCUGCAGUUUUAUCAGUAAAGGCUGGUGAAGAUGUUACUCUUCGCUGCUCAUUUGAGGAACAGAAAAGGAAUGAAAGAAUGGUUUGGUAUAAGCAGAAACCAGGUCAGGCUCCUCAGAAUGUGGGAUCACUUAUAGCAAAUAUGAAACUAAUAUCACUUGAAUUUGAGAAAUCUGGAAUCAAACUAGAGAGAACCAGCAACAGCAUUUCUCUAAUUAUUCCAAAUACGGCUAAACACGAUGAAGGAACGUACUUCUGCGGGUUUUCCCAAAUCAGCACAGUUCAGUUUUCCACUGGAACUUUCUUAACAGUUACAGAUCAUCCACAGCCAAAUAUCACACUUCUCCAAACUCCAGCACUGCAGUCGGUUCCUCCAGGAGAAGCAGUGAAUCUUCAGUGUACGGUUCUCUCUGAGAUCAGAUCAGCAGAUCUGAGAGUGUUCUGGAUCAGAUCUGCUGCAGGAUCAUCCUUUCCUGAAAUCAUCUUCACUCAUCACAACAGCAGCAGCAGCAGCAGCAGCAGCAGCAGCCGUCAGUGUGAGAUCAGCUCUUCUAAUCACAGCAGUGUGUACAACUUCUCCACCAACAUCCCCAACAACCACCAUGCUGCAACUUACUACUGCGCUGUGGAGACCUGUGGGAGGAUUAUUAUCGGGAACGGGACACCAGUAGAUCUGAGUGAGUCUUCGUAG